CCUACGGGGUGCAGCAGUAGGGAAUAUUGCUCAAUGGGGGAAACCCUGAAGCAGCAACGCCGCGUGGAGGAUGAAGGUUUUCGGAUUGUAAACUCCUUUUGUUAGAGAAGAUAAUGACGGUAUCUAACGAAUAAGCACCGGCUAACUCCGUGCCAGCAGCCGCGGUAAUACGGAGGGUGCAAGCGUUACUCGGAAUCACUGGGCGUAAAGAGCGCGUAGGCGGGAUAGCAAGUCAGAUGUGAAAUCCUAGGGCUUAACCAUAGAACUGCAUUUGAACCUGUUAUUCUAGAGUAUGGGAGAGGUAGGUGGAAUUCUUGGUGUAGGGGUAAAAUCCGUAGAGAUCAAGAGGAAUACUCAUUGCGAAGGCGACCUGCUAGAACAUAACUGACGCUGAUGCGCGAAAGCGUGGGGAGCAAACAGGAUUAGAUACCCUAGUAGUC
rnacentral:rRNA from 1 species